rnacentral:lncRNA from 1 species
AGACAAGAAAAUGACGAUAGAAAUAGUAGCACAUGUUGUCGUUUUUUGUGGCUCAUUCUUUCUCUUUAUUUUAUGCAUAAAAUAAUUUUAAAAAAAACUCAUAUGGAAAUCGACAGGAAAUCUAGUACCUUAUCCUCAUCCUCGUACACCACAUGCCAUUUUACAUCACACUCACGAAUGAUAGAACCAUUUAACACUACCACAAACAUAGCUGCAUCUUAUCCCAAUAUUGUUCUCGACACUGCUGACGACGAUGACGCUGUUUUUCCCUUUGCUUUACAAAAGAUAUGUUACCUAAAAAAAUAACGCAUUGACGAUCAAAGUCGUCGAUGCGGCAUCAUGGACAACGACACGACUGCUGCCACCACACCGACGCACCACGCCGACAAGGUCAUCACCAAAGGUCCCAUUUAAUGAUCUCUCUCUCUCAUUCAUACAUAAUCAAUUUUGUUUCAAAUAAUCUAAAAUAAAAAUUUGAAUUUUAUAAUUUAUGAUAUAUGAUAAUUUUGUACAAAAGUUUAAUUUUGUGAUUUAUGAUAAGUUUUUGUAUGAUAACUUGAAAUAUUGUAUGCGAAACAACGAUUUAAUUAUUCUAACAUAUUAUUUCUACACCUGAGGUUGCCUUUUUAGUGUGUAAUGC